CAGCCUUGGGUUCCUGAUGCUGCCAUGGGCGCCAGGCUCCUCUGCUGGGUGACUCUCUGCCUCCUGGGAGCAGGCCUGGUGGAUUCUGGAGUCACCCAGACCCCCAAGUACCUGAUCAAAUCAAGAAAGCAGCAAGCGACUCUGAUGUGUUCCCCUGACUCUGGACACCGCUCCGUGAACUGGUACCAACAGGCCCGGGGCCAGGGCCCCCGGUUCCUUGUUCAGUAUUACCGUGGACAAACUAAUAGAGAAGAAAACCUGCCAGAUCGAUUCUCAGGAGAACAGUUCAGUGAUUUUCGCUCGGAGCUGAACCUGAGCUCCUUGGAGCUGACGGACUCCGCCCUGUAUCUCUGUGCCAGCAGCCAAGACACAGCCCUGCGUGAUCAGGUGCAAAGGUCAUCCACGGUGCAGAGCACCCAUCUACUCUCCUCAAAGAAAGGUGGGUUACAGGUGCACUGCUGCCCCCAUUCAGACACGGCAGCCUGUGCUCUGGUGAACAUGAAGGAUCUGUAG